GACCCGUCUUGAAACACGGACCAAGGAGUCUAACAUGCUUGCGAGUGAAUGGGUGUAGAAACCCAGACGCGUAAUGAAAGUGAGUUGUUUGUACACGACCCRGGUGUUCUUGCGGCCCYGGUGCAGUGUGGUGUCGUCACGUUGGCUUGCCAAGUGGCGAACACAGAGCAGUCAUGUUGGGACCCGAAAGAUGGUGAACUAUGCCUGAGCAGGACGAAGYCAGASGAAASUCUGRUGGAGGUCCGAAGCRGUYCUGACGUGCAAAUCGAUYGUCAGACUUGGGUAUAGGGGCGAAAGACUAAUCGAACCAUCUAGUAGCUGGUUCCUUCCGA
rnacentral:rRNA from 1 species